UACCAAAGAAGACUUUGUUUUCAAAGUGUCGGAUCAUACAGUAGAUAUUCAGUGAGUGGAAAAAUAUCAAAAUCAGGAAGGUAGGAAAGCAGUCACAGUUUUUGAGAUAGCAAAAAAAAACUUCAACAUUAGAACUCCAUCAAAUUUAAAGCCAUAACUGAAACAUUUAAAAUUAUAUUUUAGUGUUUAUUUUUUAGUUGCUGAGUUAAUGUAUUCCCUUUUUUUCUAUGUGGAUACAGGCGACAGAGGAUAUGUUCUUAUUGUUUAAAAACCUUUUCCAACGGCACCAUCAAGGGGAAGGAUUACCAAAGAAGGCUUUGUUUUAUGACAGUAAGCUCAAGUUAAAAAAGAAAGGAAAAUACAAAUCAUACACUGGGUACAUAUGCUCUAUUUGUAUUAUUGCAGUAAAAUCACUAAAAAAGCACAUUGUUUACAUAAACACAAAAAUUUGUUAAUACAACUGGAGAAGAAUUUGUAGCACUGAGAUAGCAGAACUUAACAGUAUUUUCUCUGCAUAUGAAGAAAAUCUUUGCAAAAUUGGUGUGGGAAAAAGAAAUCCCAUUUUUCUCCCAACGUCACUUGUGUCCGUAUUUCGCCAAAACAAAUGCAUGGUCGGUGUGUGUUUAUUUGGCCAAGGCAUCAAACUUUAGAAUCUGGAGGGGAAAUACCGCUGGUGGUUACAGUGUGACUCAGAAGUUGGCGUGUUGGAGCCGUAUACCUGGAGCAAACGGAACAUCUGACUUUGUUUUAAUGUUUUCAAAGUAAGUGAUUACUCUUGGGAUUUUUGUUUUAGCAUAAAUGCGCUAUAAUUUAUUUUGGCUUGCAGAUGGUUUGAAAAUAUUAACUGCAGCACAAGCUCUCCCAUACGCGACUGCUCAGACACCAGGUUGAAAUGGUUGGAGGAGAUGUUUAUCAACAAGUUGCUUGAGUGGAAGAGUUAUGUUGAAUUAAAUCACCCGGGAGAACAUAAAAGAUUAGUAGUGACUAGACCAACACUAGAAAGAUUACUGUUUACUACAUGCAAUUUCAUUGGUUUAUCAAAGAGAUUGUUACAGCACCUUGAUUAUGUUUGUCUUCAUUCCUUUAAUCAAGAUAUUUUAGAAGCCUUUUUUGGAAAUCUGGUAAGUUGAAAAACUUGGCAAAAGUGGAAUAAAUAUCAUUCAUGAAUAAGUGCUAUGUAACAAAUAUUUUUAUGGCGUCAGCUUGGAAGACGGUAAGAGAACCCUGAUGCAUCUCAAGCUGCGUAUGGUAUACAACACCUUACUGUACGCAAAGUCAUUAAAAAGAUUUAAAGGCUCAAAAUGCAAGCACAACUUAUGGGAAAAAUAAUGCUUGGAUCAAUGUCUGUGAUGUGCCAAUGCCAAAACGAAAAAGAAAAUAAACUUUGCUCAAAAUGUUAUUUUUUAUUUUGCAAUAGCGUAAACUUAGCAAAAACAUAUUACAGGGUUUUAAAGACUUUUUCUUAAACUA